UGCACUUACUGACUUUACUGCCA
rnacentral:miRNA from 1 species